AGAAAUCCAGCUUACAAAGGAAAAUGGCAAGCUCCUCUAAUUGACAACCCCAAUUACAAGGGUAUAUGGAAGCCACAGGAAAUUCCAAACCCUAAUUACUUUGAGCUUGAAGAACCAGACUUUGAGCCCAUUGCCGCAAUUGGCAUUGAGAUCUGGACAAUGCAGGAUGGUAUUUUGUUUGGAAAUAUCUUGAUUGCAGAUGAUGAGAAGGUUGCAGAGUCACUCAGGCAGACAAA
rnacentral:misc_RNA from 1 species